rnacentral:rRNA from 1 species
GAGAGUUUGAUCUGGCUCAGGACGAACGCUGGCGGCGUGCCUAAUACAUGCAAGUCGAACGCUUCUUUUUCAACGAACUUCGGUUCAUCGAAAAAGAAGAGUGGCGGACGGGUGAGUAACACGUGGGUAACCUGCCCAUUAGAGGGGGAUAACACUUGGAAACAGGUGCUAAUACCGCAUAAUGUUUUUUCUCGCAUGGGAAGAAACGGAAAGACGCUUUUGCGUCACUAAUGGAUGGACCCGCGGUGCAUUAGCUAGUUGGUGAGGUAACGGCUCACCAAGGCCACGAUGCAUAGCCGACCUGAGAGGGUGAUCGGCCACACUGGGACUGAGACACGGCCCAGACUCCUACGGGAGGCAGCAGUAGGGAAUCUUCGGCAAUGGACGAAAGUCUGACCGAGCAACGCCGCGUGAGUGAAGAAGGUUUUCGGAUCGUAAAACUCUGUUGUUAGAGAAGAACAAGGAUGAGAAGAGAAUGUUCAUCCCUUGACGGUAUCUAACCAGAAAGCCACGGCUAACUA